rnacentral:rRNA from 1 species
CCUACGGGAGACAGCAGUAGGGAAUAUUGCUCAAUUGGGGAAACCCUGCAGCAGCAACGCCGCGUGGAUGAUGAAGGAUUUAGGAUUGUAAACUCCUAUUGUUAGGGAAGAUUAUGACGUUAUCUAACGAAUAAGCACCCGCUAACUCCGUGCCAGCAGCCGCGGUCAUCCGGCGGUGGCAAGCGUUAUACGGAAUGACUGGGUGUAAAGAGUGAGUAUACGGGCUUAUAAGUCUGAUGUGAAAUCUUGUAGCGUAACGCCAGAACUGCCUUUGAGACUGUAAAGCUGGAGUGUAGGAGAGGUAAGUGGAAUUCUUGGUGUAGGGGUAAAAUCCGUAGAUAUCAAGAGGAAUACCCGUGGCGAAGGCGGCCUACUGGAACGUUACUGACGUUGAUGCUCGAAAGCGUGGGGAGCAAACAGGAUUAGAUACCCGAGUAGUC